GGGUUGUGAGGUUAAGCGACUAAGCGUACACGGUGGAUGCCCUGGCAGUCAGAGGCGAUGAAGGGCGUGCUAAUCUGCGAUAAGCGCCGGUAAGGUGAUAUGAACCGUUAUAACCGGCGAUACCCGAAUGGGGAAACCCAGUGUGACUCGUCACACUAUCAUUAACUGAAUCCAUAGGUUAAUGAGGCGAACCGGGGGAACUGAAACAUCUAAGUACCCCGAGGAAAAGAAAUCAACCGAGAUUCCCCCAGUAGCGGCGAGCGAACGGGGAGGAGCCCAGAGCCUGAAUCAGCAUGUGUGUUAGUGGAAGCGUCUGGAAAGGCGCGCGAUACAGGGUGACAGCCCCGUACACAAAAGCGCAUGUGCUGUGAGCUCGAUGAGUAGGGCGGGACACGUGGUAUCCUGUCUGAAUAUGGGGGGACCAUCCUCCAAGGCUAAAUACUCCUGACUGACCGAUAGUGAACCAGUACCGUGAGGGAAAGGCGAAAAGAACCCCGGCGAGGGGAGUGAAAAAGAACCUGAAACCGUGUACGUACAAGCAGUGGGAGCACAGGUUUACCUGUGUGACUGCGUACCUUUUGUAUAAUGGGUCAGCGACUUAUAUUCUGUAGCAAGGUUAACCGCAUAGGGGAGCCGGAGGGAAACCGAGUCUUAAUUGGGCGUUAAGUUGCAGGGUAUAGACCCGAAACCCGGUGAUCUAGCCAUGGGCAGGUUGAAGGUUGGGUAACACUAACUGGAGGACCGAACCGACUAAUGUUGAAAAAUUAGCGGAUGACCUGUGGCUGGGGGUGAAAGGCCAAUCAAACCGGGAGAUAGCUGGUUCUCCCCGAAAGCUAUUUAGGUAGCGCCUCGUGAAUUCAUCUCCGGGGGUAGAGCACUGUUUCGGCUAGGGGGCCAUCCCGGCUUACCAACCCGAUGCAAACUGCGAAUACCGGAGAAUGUUAUCACGGGAGACACACGGCGGGUGCUAACGUCCGUCGUGAAGAGGGAAACAACCCAGACCGCCAGCUAAGGUCCCAAAGUCAUGGUUAAGUGGGAAACGAUGUGGGAAGGCCCAGACAGCCAGGAUGUUGGCUUAGAAGCAGCCAUCAUUUAAAGAAAGCGUAAUAGCUCACUGGUCGAGUCGGCCUGCGCGGAAGAUGUAACGGGGCUAAACCAUGCACCGAAGCUGCGGCAGCGA
rnacentral:rRNA from 1 species